rnacentral:tRNA from 1 species
GCGGAUGUAGCUCAGUUGGUAGAGCAUCAGGUUUCCACCCUGAGGGUCGCGAGUUCGAGUCUCGUCGUCCGCUCCA